UGAUUAAAUGGUACGGAUCCAAUAGUGAAAGCUAUGUCUUCUAAAGCCAAAUAGUUUCUAUUUGCAAGUCAUAGUAAAUCUCCAAAAUAUUGCUGCCUUCCCCAGAUCCAAUUCUAUGCUGCUAUUUAUUUUGAGGACAACUGCCAGACAAUACUACUACUAAAGAGGUUGAGUGAAGUUUUGAGCACGGAAUGGGACGUACCCUACAGCCGGUCGGUAAAAUUGACAGCCGUCAGAAAACUUCUUCAGAUGAUUUGGCCCAGUGAAAAUCAUUUGCUAGAUUACCUGUAAAAAAU